CGAGGGAGCCGGAUGGCCGCUCCGACGUACGUCGGAGAGGAAAGUCCGAACACCAUCGAAAGCGCAAGCUUUCGGAAGAGGUAGUCGCUAACGGCGACGGGCCCAAGAGACGUGGGGUACGCCUGGAUGACAUGUCGCAGAGGGACGCGUUCAGCGUCAAUCCGCGUAGUCGAUCAGCGUUCGUCCGCGAUUCGAGGCCACGGAAAGUGCAACAGAAAACAAACCGCUCGAGCCCGAGCGCAAGCGAGGGCGAGAUCCUGAGCGUAGUCGAAGGACUACUACCAGGUCGAGUAAGGGUGAAAUCGUGGGCCCCGCCUCACCUCACGGUGAGAUGGGGAUAGCUCUGCCGAGGAAUCGGCGGGGUAAAGUAAGAGCCCACGCGGGACCGCAUCCCGAUGGUCCGCAUACUGUUCCGGUCUCCGGAAUAAGUGCUGGUGGUUGGGAUGCUGCUCGAUACUAUCGAGCAGCCUCGAGAGAGGCGCCGUGGAAAACACCUACCCGGUGCAACUCCAUUUUCGGAGGCACGAGGCCCCGAGCAAUCGGGGUCCCAGAGAGAUGGCCAUCCCCCCGCCUUCGGCGGGGUACAGAAUUCGGCUUACAGGCUCGCUUGGGGA
rfam:Candidatus Thrbacteria bacterium RIFCSPHIGHO2_12_FTLL_57_11 rifcsphigho2_12_scaffold_50874, whole genome shotgun sequence.